rnacentral:rRNA from 1 species
GAUGAACGCUGGCGGCGUGCCUAAUACAUGCAAGUCGAGCGAACGGACGAGAAGCUUGCUUCUCUGAUGUUAGCGGCGGACGGGUGAGUAACACGUGGAUAACCUACCUAUAAGACUGGGAUAACUUCGGGAAACCGGAGCUAAUACCGGAUAAUAUUUUGAACCGCAUGGUUCAAAAGUGAAAGACGGUCUUGCUGUCACUUAUAGAUGGAUCCGCGCUGCAUUAGCUAGUUGGUAAGGUAACGGCUUACCAAGGCAACGAUGCAUAGCCGACCUGAGAGGGUGAUCGGCCACACUGGAACUGAGACACGGUCCAGACUCCUACGGGAGGCAGCAGUAGGGAAUCUUCCGCAAUGGGCGAAAGCCUGACGGAGCAACGCCGCGUGAGUGAUGAAGGUCUUCGGAUCGUAAAACUCUGUUAUUAGGGAAGAACAGAUGUGUAAGUAACUGUGCACAUCAUGACGGUACCUAAUCAGAAAGCCACGGCUAACUACGUG